rnacentral:lncRNA from 1 species
GCUGCUGGAGAAGAGGAGUUUAUGGGGGGCUCCCGGGGCUGUCUCAUGGAAGGACAGUGAGCGCUUCGGACGGGGUCCGGGCGAUCAUCUGGAUCACUCGGAUACGUGGAGCAUUGCUCAAAGGAGGAGCCGAGGGACAAACCUUUGUGCCGAGAAGCAGCGGCCAAACAGCUGUCUCGGCUGUCACACCUGUCCUGAGGAAAGCCCUGUGGAAGGAGCUCAGUGCUGGGAUUCAGGACCCUGAGGCCACUGUGAAACUGCAAAUUCUUUCCAAGCUGUUGCCACCUCCGGGAAGCAAAGGGCUGCACAACCUGAUGGACUGCCUUCCUGCUGCUCCGGAGAGAGCAGGCAAUGAAGAGAGUGUGUGGUUGAAGAAGUGGACCCAGAUGACUGGUGUGACCUUGUGAAGACAGGGCUCAAGUACCGUUACAGAGAUGAAACAUUUCUGAAGGUCCUGAACGUUGCCAUCCAGUUACUAUACAUGAAAGAAUCCUCACUUAGAGCGUAGUCAAGCUCUCCAAACUACACAUGGGGGUCACACAGCACUCUCUAUUUUUGGCAGCCAUCCUGAGGUCAAGAGAAGAAGAUGGCAUGAGCGUCCAGACAAGAGGAUGGCUCUCUGUGGUCUCAGACAGUGUUCCCUGGGAGGAAGGGCAGCCUUUGCCUCGCCUGCACAGCUCAGGUGGAUGUGACAGAACUGGUGUGGCCUGACAAGGCAUGAGCAGCUGUCUGUGCACUGGAGUGCCUUGAAACCUUUCUCUGUGAGGUUUUGGACACGUUUCUCUUUGGGAUUUCUUGUGACACAGCACCAGCUCCUCCCAUCUUUGCCAGAAGCUUCGGUGUUUAAGCAGCCAGAGCCAAGAGGCUUCAGCACCAGGGGUGUGCGCUGGAGGGCUCCUGGUCCUGCCCACGCUGUGGGGGAGCCAGGGCUGGCACAAGGACUCAUGAAGGUGCUGCUCUGGCACUGGAGCUGUUGCCCUGUGGAGCCAUUUUAAAGGUCUGAUAAUGGAACAUUUUGGAGGCCGUUUCUGGAAUUCCAUUUGUAGCUGGAUCUCGCUCCAAGUGCAGCAGUCCAGCAAGGAAGGGAUGGGACUGCUCUUGGCCGGGAGCACUCAGUGCUCAGGUAAACACCCGCCUCGGAGCGUGAGGGUUUGCAGAGCGAGCAGCUGCUGCGGCUCAGGAGCAGCCACAAGUUCUUUGUUCCAAGGCAGGCCAGAACUUUCUAACCCCGGGGUUUAUUUGGCUUUUCGAACCCAGCACCUCUGCUCAGUUCUGCCGCACUGAGGGUACUUUUGUUCAAUGCCUUCUGUUGGAACUUGUCAGCUCUCAGUGUAGCGCACACAGCCCCAGCCCUGCCCUGCAAACCCUUCCCCAUCGUGCCCACACAGUUUCUCUCUCACUCACUCGGGGCAGGCUCUUACUGACAGCCACAGAAACAGAAGUUAUUUUAUUUUAUUUUAUUCUUUUCCUGCGUAAUGCCCGUGUCUUGUAUUGGUACAUCAAUCCCAGCUUCUCCCGAGGCUGCAGAUCAAAUCUUUCAGUGUCUGUGGGAGUUUCUGGUUUUCCCAUUCCCAUGUCUUCCCCCUCUCUCUGUAUGAAAAAAAAAAUUAUUAGUGGAUUUGUUAAGCAUUUGUUGCAUAUAUUAACAUAAAUAAGGUGUUAUCAUUAGUAUUAUUAUUGUAAUAAUAUAAUUAAAAUGUAUACUUUUGUUACAAGAUUUUUUAAUUAUGGUGUUAAAUUUUAUUUAUUGUUAUGUUUUAUUAGUUAUUCUUAUUUUUGAUAUUUCUUAAAGUUGUACACUUUAAUAAGUAGAUUUGGUGUUUUAGAUAAAUGUAUACAUUUUAUUAAAUUUUUAUAUUUAUAUUUGUAUGUUAAUAAAAUAAAUUUUUUUGUUGGUUUUUUG